rnacentral:tRNA from 1 species
GUCCAGGUGGACUAGGAGUUUCUCGUUUUUUUAAAACUAUGGGGCGCCCGAGGUUCUGGGCCCCCGCCUAGGUGC